CAAUAGCGUAUAUUUAAGUUGCUGCAGUUAAAAAGCUCGUAGUUGGAUUUCGGGUGGGAAUGGCCGGUCCGCCGUUUCGGUGUGCACUUGCUACGCCCACCUUGCUGCCGGGGACGUGCUCUUGAGUUCACGCUCGGGACACGGAGUCGGCGAGGUUACUUUGAGUAAAUUAGAGUGUUCAAAGCAGGCCUACGCUCUGAAUACAUUAGCAUGGAAUAACACGAUAGGACUCUGGCCUAUCUUGUUGGUCUGUAGGACCGGAGUAAUGAUUAAGAGGGACAGUCGGGGGCAUUCGUAUUUCAUUGUCAGAGGUGAAAUUCUUGGAUUAUCGGAAGACGAGCAUCUGCGAAAGCAUUUGCCAAGGAUGUUUUCAUUAA
rnacentral:rRNA from 1 species